AGGGUUCGAUUCUGGCUCAGGACGAACGCUGGCGGCACGCCUAACACAUGCAAGUCGAACGGAGAAUGCUUAGCUUGCUUGCAUUCUUAGUGGCGGACGGGUGAGUAACACGUGAGCAACCUGCCUUUUGGCGAGGGAUAGCUCCUGGAAACGGAUGGUAAUACCUCAUAAUAUAGCUGAAUCGCAUGAUUUAGUUAUCAAAGAAUUUCGCCAAAAGAUGGGCUCGCGUCUGAUUAGAUAGUUGGUGAGGUAACGGCUCACCAAGUCGACGAUCAGUAGCCGGACUGAGAGGUUGAACGGCCACAUUGGGACUGAGACACGGCCCAGACUCCUACGGGAGGCAGCAGUGAGGGAUAUUGCACAAUGGGGGAAACCCUGAUGCAGCGAUGCCGCGUGGAGGAAGAAGGUUUUCGGAUUGUAAACUCCUGUUUCGAGGGACGAUAAUGACGGUACCUCGGGAGGAAGCUCCGGCUAACUACGUGCCAGCCGCCGC
rnacentral:rRNA from 1 species